UAGGGAAUCUUCCACAAUGGGCGCAAGCCUGAUGGAGCAACGCCGCGUGAGUGAAGAAGGUCUUCGGAUCGUAAAACUCUGUUGUUAGAGAAGAACAUGCAGGAGAGUAACUGUUCUUGUAUUGACGGUAUCUAACCAGAAAGCCACGGCCAACUACGUGCCAA
rnacentral:rRNA from 1 species